rnacentral:lncRNA from 1 species
AUGCAUGCCGGUGCUCACUCUUCUGAGGCCUCAGGCCCCACGACCCCGCUGAGGCUCUCUUGUCCGGGUCACCCACAGCCUCCAACGUGCCGGUCUAAACGUUCUCACCUGGGAGCAGCUCUGGGCACAGGUCAGCCUGCCCUUUUCUUGCCGGGUGCCUUCACCAGCACACCUCGCCCGCUUGGCUUCAUCGUUCCUCUCUGGCUCCUCUGGCUCGGUCUUCCAGGCUGGUUCAGCCUCCUCUUGCGGACCUCCGGGGUAGAGGCUGGGGGCUCAGGGCUCACUUCCCUGCUCCGCCCCUCUAAGUUUCCCCAGGGAUCCCAUCUCCCCCACAGCUGUCAGCUGCACCUGCAAGCCAUGCCUGACCCCACCCCAGAGCCAGCCCCACGCCAGUACCUCCACGGGGUGCUCAAUGGGCACCUCAGGUGUCACGUGUCCCGAGCAGAAUUCUCAACUUCCCUCACCAGCACGGUUGACCUGGAAGCUCAAGAGGCAAACCUAGGAACCAGCCGUGCCUCCUCCUUCCUCACACCUGCCUCCGUCCCAGCAUCGAAUCCUCCCGUCUCAACUUUCCUAAGUGUUGGCAGCCUUCAAACCCCUCACUCCUCGCACCUCCCAAGCCAACCUGUGGCCUCCUGUCAGACACAUAGAAAGAGCGGGGCUCUGUGGGCCCCAGAGACACGGCCCCGUCUACCUCUGCACCCCCAUUUGCCGCCACACUCUCCUUCCCAACACGGGAGCCAUGCUGACCUCCUUGUCACGCCUCAAGUUCCUUCUGGCCGCGAACCUCGGUACCUGGUGCCUGCGGUUCCUUCCCUCCCAUCUGUCGGUCCCACUCCUUCCGCUCAGGCCGCUGCUCAGUGUCUUCUCUUCAGAGGCUUCCCCCGCGCAGGAGCAGGAACAGCUCACCUUUCCACCGCGACCACUCUCUCUUCCCUUACCUCACUUUCGUCUUUCUCCCUACUCCACAGACUGGAUCAGGCUCUGCACGGAGGUGUUUAUGGUUUUGUUGUCUGUAAACUCCACAGAGCGGGGCCUUUCUGUGUCAUUCACAGCGAACUUGCAGAGCCCAGCACCGUGCCUGGCCCACAGCGAGUGUCGAAUGAACGAGUGAGUGUGUGUCGCCUUGGACACUUGACACGGGCUGUGAGGAAGGUGCCCCGGCUUAGACUAACGCACUUAAGAGACCACAUGUCUGCCCCAGAGCUGCUUCUGGAGCAGAAGCCAGGGCUUGUUCCUGAGCCUGUGGUCACCUGA